CUUCGGAUGCUGACGAGUGGCGAACGGGUGAGUAAUACAUCGGAACGUGCCCGAUCGUGGGGGAUAACGAGGCGAAAGCUUUGCUAAUACCGCAUAAGAUCUAAGGAUGAAAGCAGGGGACCGCAAGGCCUUGCGCGAACGGAGCGGCCGAUGGCAGAUUAGGUAGUUGGUGGGGUAAAGGCUUACCAAGCCUACGAUCUGUAGCUGGUCUGAGAGGACGACCAGCCACACUGGGACUGAGACACGGCCCAGACUCCUACGGGAGGCAGCAGUGGGGAAUUUUGGACAAUGGGCGCAAGCCUGAUCCAGCCAUGCCGCGUGCAGGAUGAAGGCCUUCGGGUUGUAAACUGCUUUUGUACGGAACGAAAAGGUUCGGGUUAAUACCCUGGGCCCAUGACGGUACCGUAAGAAUAAGCACCGGCUAACUACGUGCCAGCAGCCGCGGUAAUACGUAGGGUGCAAGCGUUAAUCGGAAUUACUGGGCGUAAAGCGUGCGCAGGCGGUUUUGUAAGACAGAGGUGAAAUCCCCGGGCUCAACCU
rnacentral:rRNA from 1 species